UACGGGGGGGGCAAGCGUUGUUCGGAAUUACUGGGCGUAAAGGGCUCGUAGGCGGCCAACUAAGUCAUACGUGAAAUCCCUCAGCUUAACUGGGGAACUGCGUGUGAUACUGGAUGGCUUGGAUUUGGGAGAGGGAUGCGGAAUUCCAGGUGUAGCGGUGAAAUGCGUAGAUAUCUGGAGGAACACCGGUGGCGAAGGCGGAUCUCUGGGCCUUACCUGACGCUCAGGUGCGAAAGCUAGGGGAGCGAACAGG
rnacentral:rRNA from 1 species